AUACGGAGGAUGCGAGCGUUAUCCGGAUUUAUUGGGUUUAAAGGGUGCGUAGGCUGUGCGUUAAGUCAGGGGUGAAAUGCCGUCGCUCAACGACGGAGCUGCCCUUGAUACUGGCGUGCUGGAGUACGGAUGCCGUUGGAGGAAUGAGUGGUGUAGCGGUGAAAUGCUUAGAUAUCACUCAGAACACCGAUUGCGAAGGCAUCUGACGAAUCCGUCACUGACGCUGAGGCACGAAAGCGUGGGGAUAGAACAGGAUUAGAUACCCUGGUAUUCCACGCCGUAAACGAUGAUGACUAACCGUUGGCGAUAGACAGCCGGUGGCCAAGCGAAAGCGAUAAGUCAUCCACCUGGGGAGUACGUCGGCAACGAUGAAACUCAAAGGAAUUGACGGGG
rnacentral:rRNA from 1 species